rnacentral:rRNA from 1 species
GCAAGUCGAGCGCCCCGCAAGGGGAGCGGCAGACGGGUGAGUAACACGUGGGAACGUGCCUUUUGGUUCGGAACAACACAGGGAAACUUGGGCUAAUACCGCAUAUGGCCUUCGGGUCAAAGCAGCAAUGCGCCAGAAGACGAGCCUGCGUCCCAUUAUUUAAUCCUAGUUGGCGGGGUAACGGCCCACCAAGGGAACGAUGGGUAGCUGGUCUAAGAGGAUGAUCAGCCACACCGGAACUGAGACACGGUCCAGACUCCUACGGGAGGCAGCAGUGGGGAAUAUUGCGCAAUGGGGGAAACCCUGACGCAGCCACGCCGCGUGAGUGAAGAAGGCCUUCGGGUCGUAAAGCUCUGUCGGGAGAGACGAAGGGGUAAAACUCUGACGGUAUCUCGCAAGAAAGCACCGGCUAACUCUGUGCCAGCAGCCGCGGUAAUACAGAGGGUGCAAGCGUUGCUCGGAUUUACUGGGCGUAAAGCGUACGCAGACGGACCGUCAAGUCGGGAGUGAAAGCCCUGGGCUCAACCCAGGAACGGCUUUCGAUACUAGCGGUCUUGAGUUUGGGAGAGGGAAGCGGAAUUCCUGGUGUAGAGGUGAAAUUCGUAGAUAUCAGGAGGAACACCGGCGGCGAAGGCGGCUUCCUGGCCCAAUACUGACGUUCAGGUACGAAAGCGUGGGUAGCAAACAGGAUUAGAUACCCUGGUAGUCCACGCUGUAAACGAUGAGUGCUGGAUGUCGGAGGUAUUCACCCCUUCGGUAUCGAAGCUAACGCGUUAAGCACUCCGCCUGGGGAGUACGGCCGCAAGGUUGAAACUCAAAGGAAUUGACGGGGGCCCGCACAAGCGGUGGAGUAUGUGGUUUAAUUCGACACACGCGCAGAACCUUACCCAGCCUUGACAUCCUUGGAACCGAGUGGAAACACUUGGGUGCUCUCGCAAGAGAGUGCCAGGAGACAGGUGCUGCAUGGCCGUCGUCAGCUCGUGUCGUGAGAUGUUCGGUUAAGUCCGGCAACGAGCGCAACCCCUGUCUUCAGUUGCCAUCAUUCAGUUGGGCACUCUGGAGAGACUGCCGGCGUCAAGCCGGAGGAAGGUGGGGAUGACGUCAAGUCCUCAUGGCCUUUAUGGUUGGGGCUACACACGUACUACAAUGAUGACUACAAAGGGCAGCCAACCCGCGAGGGGGAGCAAAUCCCAAAAAAGUCAUCUCAGUUCGGAUUGCAGUCUGCAACUCGACUGCAUGAAGUCGGAAUCGCUAGUAAUCGCGGAUCAGCAUGCCGCGGUGAAUACGUUCCCGGGCCUUGUACACACCGCCCGUCACACCACGAAAGUUGGAUGGACCCGAAGUCGCUGCUCCGACCCGCAAGGGGGGAAGGCGCCAACGGUCUGUUCGAUGAUUGGGGUGAAGUCGUAACAAGGUA